UACGUAGGGGGCAAGCGUUUGUCCGGAUUUAUUGGGCGUAAAGAGCGUGUAGGCGGUUUGGUAGGUCCGCUGUGAAAACUCGAGGCUCAACCUCGAGACGCCGGUGGAAACCAUCAGACUAGAGUCCGGAAGAGGAGAGUGGAAUUCCUGGUGUAGCGGUGAAAUGCGCAGAUAUCAGGAGGAACACCAAUUGCGAAGGCAGCUUGCUAAACAAAUAUUGACGCUGAGGCACGAAAGCGUGGGGAUCAAACAGG
rnacentral:rRNA from 1 species